CCUACGGGUGGCAGCAGUGAGGAAUAUUGGUCAAUGGGCGGGAGCCUGAACCAGCCAAGUCGCGUGAGGGAAGACGGUCCUAUGGAUUGUAAACCUCUUUAGGCGGGGAGCAAUGCCGGGCACGCGUGCCCGGAGGGAGAGUACCCGCAGAAUAAGCAUCGUCUAACUCCGUGCCAGCGGCCGCGGUAAUACGGAGGAUGCGAGCGUUAUCCGGAUUUAUUGGGGUUAAAGGGUGCGUAGGCGGAUUUUUAAGUCAGCGGGAAAAUGUCCGUGCUCAACCCGGGCCGGCCGUUGAAACGGGGGAUCUUGAGUGGGCGAGAAGUAUGCGGAAUGCGUGGUGUAGCGGUGAAAUGCAUAGAUAGCACGCAGAACUCCGAGUGAGAAGGCAGCAUACCGGCGCCCGACUGACGCUGAGGCACGAAAGCGUGGGGAUCGAACAGGAUUAGAUACCCGGAUAGGC
rnacentral:rRNA from 1 species